rnacentral:rRNA from 1 species
UACGGAGGGUGCGAGCGUUGUCCGGAAUCACUGGGCGUAAAGGGCGCGUAGGCGGCUUUUUAAGUCAGACGGUGAAAUCCCCCGGCUUAACCUGGGAACUGCGUCUGAUACUGGGAGCUUGAGUUCGGGAGAGGGAUGUAGAAUUCCAGGUGUAGCGGUGAAAUGCGUAGAUAUCUGGAGGAAUACCGGUGGCGAAGGCGGCAUCCUGGACCGAAACUGACGCUGAGGCG